rnacentral:sRNA from 1 species
UUUCAGAUUGUUGUAUUGGCUGAAGUCAUUAGAGAUAUGGACCAUAUUACUUUGUCUGCAAGAGGUGUUACUAUUUUAGUUGAUAGUCUCUAUUCAGUUCAGACUUCUACUAUUGUCUUGACAGGGAAUUUAAUAGCAAGCCUGGCUCAUUCUAGAGCUGGUAUCCCAGAAGCAUUUACCACAUUAGGAACAAUCCAACGGCUCUGCUAUCAUUUGUACUCAGGAAUAGAAGAGUCUGGAGAAGAAUGGAGGACCAUCCAUAAUUCCUAUCUUUAAAAGAGAGCUUUGCGGAUAUAGAAGUUACUCGCGACACCACCAGAUGCAACCUGAAGGAAUUGAGAAAACCAAAAUAACUAUCUUAUAUGGAUAUGAACCAAGCUGCUAAUUAAACCUGGAGAAAAAUAUCAGCAUUAAACAAUAAUAAACUAUCCCAUUUUGAGAUGGGUAAUGGGCAGAUGAUAUAUCUAUAUAAUAAAAAUUUGGAAAG